rnacentral:rRNA from 1 species
CUCCUACGGGGGUGCAGCAGUGGGGAAUAUUGCACAAUGGGCGCAAGCCUGAUGCAGCCAUGCCGCGUGUGUGAAGAAGGCCUUAGGGUUGUAAAGCACUUUCAGUAGGGAGGAAAGUUGGUAGGUUAAUACCUUUAGCAUGUGACGUUACCCACAGAAGAAGCACCGGCUAACUCCGUGCCAGCAGCCGCGGUAAUACGGAGGGUGCGAGCGUUAAUCGGAAUUACUGGGCGUAAAGCGCGUGUAGGCGGCCA